rnacentral:rRNA from 1 species
GGGCCCGCACAAGCGGUGGAGUAUGUGGUUUAAUUCGAUGCAACGCGAAGAACCUUACCAGGGUUUGACAUCCUGCGAAUCUCUUGGAAACAGGAGAGUGCCUUCGGGAACGCAGUGACAGGUGGUGCAUGGCUGUCGUCAGCUCGUGUCGUGAGAUGUUGGGUUAAGUCCCGCAACGAGCGCAACCCACGUCUUUAGUUGCCAGCAUUUAGUUGGGCACUCUAGAGAGACUGCCGGUGAUAAACCGGAGGAAGGUGUGGAUGACGUCAAGUCAUCAUGCCCCUUACAUCCUGGGCUACACACGUACUACAAUGAUGGGGACAAAGAGUUGCCAAUCUGCAAAGAUGAGCUAAUCUCGUAAACUUCAUCUAAGUUCGGAUUGUAGGCUGCAACUCGCCUACAUGAAGUUGGAAUUGCUAGUAAUCGC